rnacentral:rRNA from 1 species
UACGAAGGGGGGCUAGCGUUGCUCGGAAUUACUGGGCGUAAAGGGAGCGUAGGCGGAUAGUUAAGUCAGAGGUGAAAGCCCAGGGCUCAACCUUGGAAUUGCCUUUGAUACUGGCUAUCUUGAGUAUGGGAGAGGUUAGCGGAACUCCGAGUGUAGAGGUGAAAUUCGUAGAUAUUCGGAAGAACACCAGUGGCGAAGGCGGCUAACUGGCCCAUUACUGACGCUGAGGCUCGAAAGCGUGGGGAGCAAACAGG